rnacentral:rRNA from 1 species
CUACGGGGGGCAGCAGUGGGGAAUAUUGCACAAUGGGCGCAAGCCUGAUGCAGCCAUGCCGCGUGUAUGAAGAAGGCCUUCGGGUUGUAAAGUACUUUCAGCGGGGAGGAAGGGAGUAAAGUUAAUACCUUUGCUCAUUGACGUUACCCGCAGAAGAAGCACCGGCUAACUCCGUGCCAGCAGCCGCGGUAAUACGGAGGGUGCAAGCGUUAAUCGGAAUUACUGGGCGUAAAGUGCACGCAGGCGGUUUGUUAAGUCAGAUGUGAAAUCCCCGGGCUCAACCUGGGAACUGCAUCUGAUACUGGCAAGCUUGAGUCUCGUAGAGGGGGGUAGAAUUCCAGGUGUAGCGGUGAAAUGCGUAGAGAUCUGGAGGAAUACCGGUGGCGAAGGCGGCCCCCCGGACGAAGACUGACGCUCAGGUGCGAAAGCGUGGGGAGCAAACAGGAUUAGAUACCCGAGUAGUC